GAAGCUGGUGCAGGGUGACGGUGCGUCUGGGUAAGGCAAAUGAGAGGCAGUGAGGUGAUCUCAGAAUGGCGUUGAGGCGGUCAGAUUAGGCCGGGCUGGCUCACACGAGGGUCCCGGGCUUGGCUUUUCCCUGCCCGUACCACUGGACAUCAGCUAGUUCUGGAUAGAGGGAGGAAUCCAGGAAACAGCUAUCAUUGUAGCUCCUGUGGGAGGCCCAAGAAAGAUGAGAGAGUUAGUGGAGGAGGAUGGGCUCAGCCAGGCCUGCACUGAGAAGGAUGUGUUCACCUUGACAGGGCCCUGUGCUAAUCACGAGUCUUUCCUGUUCAGAGCAGUGAGGCCUGAGACCCUCAACGGUGCUGUGUGUACAGAAGGCCCCCAGAAUCCACAGAAAGGGCCCGCCUGAAACCUAGAGCAUUUGUGAAGGAGGAGAAUGGAAGGAACAACUGGAUGUUGUAAAUGUUUCUCAUCUGGCCUUAAAAUCCAUGAAAGCUGGAAAAUGCCAAGGCAUCUGUGCACAUACUGGUGGAUUUUAAUGAGAGUCCUGUGUUUGGAGCACCAGAAAUAAACCAGCUUCAGAAGCAAAGUGAGCCCGAGAAUUUGCAUUUCUGACAAGAUCCCAGGAUUUGAACGUCUAUGACACUCUUCCGAGCUGACACAGUGAAGAACAUGGAAGGAGAACUCACCCAGUCUGCCAGGGUCACAGAUGAUCAUACUCAAGAUCUUCCUGGGGAGUCAACGGCAAAUUUCACUGGGCUACUUUACAGAUGAAGAAGGAAUAUAAAGAAGGUUCUGGGACCCUGAAGUCCACGGAACACCCACCAUUACCUGAUCUUUGGAGCUUGUCAUUUGGCCAGUGGACCCUAAUAAACAUGUCCACGGGGAUGUGGGGAUGGAAUGCCGGAGCCUGGCUCGCUAGGGCAUCCAGGUUCUUCCUCUUUGCCCUGCUGUCUCCAGGCACCAAGAAUCUCCUGCAGUUCCCCAAAGAUGAACCCCCCAGUAUCUCAGGUCACUCUGUUUCCCUUGAUCUUUACCAAAUUCCUGACUCAGAGUUCCUCCCAUUUGCUUCUGACUCUCAUUUUAUUCUUAUGAUGUUUACCAUUUCUGUUCUCCUCAGUGUCCCUCUCUGAGUGCUAAGAGUAUGUUAAUAAGCCAGUGCUCAGACCACAGCACAAGGCAACUGCUCAGUGUCGGUCAUUAUCACUGUUAUUAAAUG
rnacentral:sRNA from 1 species